GACGUAGGGCGCGAGCGUUGUCCGGAUUUAUUGGGCGUAAAGAGCUCGUAGGCGGCUUGUCGCGUUGUUCGUGAAAACUCACAGCUCAACUGUGGGCGUGCGGGCGAUACGGGCAGACUAGAGUACUGCAGGGGGAGACUGGAAUUCCUGGUGUAGCGGUGAAAUGCGCAGAUAUCAGGAGGAACACCGGUGGCGAAGGCGGGUCUCUGGGCAGUAACUGACGCUGGAGGAACGAAAGCGUGGGUAGCGAACAGG
rnacentral:rRNA from 1 species